rnacentral:tRNA from 1 species
GGGCUGGGGCUCAGUGGUAGAGCACUUGCCUGGCAUGCAUGAGGCACUGGGUUUGAUCCUCAUCACUACA